rnacentral:misc_RNA from 1 species
AACGCACAUUGCGCCCCUCGGUAUUCCUGGGGGCAUGCCUGUUCGAGCGUCAUUACAACCAUCAAGCACAGCUUGGCAAUGGGCCAUCGUCCGGGCCUUUCGGCCCGGGCGUGCCCCAAAACCGUCGGCAGAGUCACGCGGACCCGCCGGGCGUAACAGAAAGGGAGGCGAGAGCCUACCAUACGUCCAACGCGAUCGCGCCUCGUGCCGUUAAACACUGGGCCUUCGGGCCCUCAUCACAAGGUUGACCUCGGAUCAGGUAGGGAUACCCGCUGAACUUAA